CCUACGGGCGGCUGCAGUGGGGAAUAUUGGACAAUGGGCGAAAGCCUGAUCCAGCCAUGCCGCGUGUGUGAAGAAGGCCUUCGGGUUGUAAAGCACUUUCAGUGGGGAAGAAAGCCUUGGGGCUAAUACCCUCGAGGAAGGACAUCACCCACAGAAGAAGCACCGGCUAACUCCGUGCCAGCAGCCGCGGUAAUACGGAGGGUGCGAGCGUUAAUCGGAAUUACUGGGCGUAAAGCGCGCGUAGGCGGUCUGAUAAGCCGGUUGUGAAAGCCCCGGGCUCAACCUGGGAACGGCAUCCGGAACUGUCAGGCUAGAGUGCAGGAGAGGAAGGUAGAAUUCCCGGUGUAGCGGUGAAAUGCGUAGAGAUCGGGAGGAAUACCAGUGGCGAAGGCGGCCUUCUGGACCGACACUGACGCUGAGGUGCGAAAGCGUGGGUAGCAAACAGGAUUAGAUACCCGUGUAGUC
rnacentral:rRNA from 1 species